rnacentral:lncRNA from 1 species
CAUCAGCUCUGCUGCUCUGCAGGUGGGACCCGGGAUCCCUCCCGCUGCCUCCGCCCCCGCUCCAUCCCUUCCCAGGACUGCACAGCCCGGUCCCAGAUCAGAUUUCGGGAGACGCGUCUCUAUCUGAUGCCUUCGGGCUGAGCAGGAUGAUGCUCGGAAACAUCCAAUUCACCCGGGGAUCGGAGGCCGCGGGAACCCACCCAAACCCAGGAGAGGCUGCGCCUCUUGGGACCCGGGGCCAAAGCCUGCUGGGCUGUCGGAGGUGGUUUGGAAGUGGCAUCGCCUAUGGCCAAGACCGCGGGUUCUGCGGACAGAGAGGAGCCCUGGGUUCGCUUUCUGCCUCAUCUAUUUUCAAGCUAGGUGACCUUGGGCAAGGUGAGGAGACCAGAGGUCGGGCCCAAGUCAGACAUGGAGAUGCCUGCAGAGCAGGACGGAGCACAGGCUUCCCACCUGGUCCUCCACUUCGGUGGCAUCACCCGUGUCCCCUCAGGUGAGCCGUCAAGAGUAGGGUUGAGGACCAGUUCUCGCCGUGAUGAAAGGAGAGAGAAGAGUGAUUUUUCCGUGGAGGCUAGAGCCCCCUCUGGCACCUUCCUGAUGCCCCCAAACUGCAUGCAAGAUAAUUCUACACCUCCUGGUAGAAAUGGUCUCCUCCUUGGACCUUCUCCUCAGUGUCUCCCCUCUAAGACCCUCCAUGGGGAACUUCCUCCCUUGUAGCAUUGGAGGCAUUUAGCACUGCUGGCUGUUCUCCGGCCCUUGAACUUUGCUGUCUCUCUGGCAUUUGGCCCCAGGGUCUGUGGCUCCCUGCAUCACUCCUGCACUCAUCUCUCUUCUGUCUUGCCCGUGCAGGUUCUCCCUAGAGUUUAUUCCUCCUUCUCUGGCCGAUCUCACUUAGUACCUUUCACAUGCAGAUGAUUCCCAAACUUUUAUCCCCAGUGUCAUCUCUCUUCCAGGCUCCAGACUCCUGUUGUUAAUGGGUGUGUUGACAGCUCCACCUGAAACUCUGGAAGGCACUGGAAAUAACAUGUUGCAGGCAGGUUGCUUUGUUUUCCUUCUAAACCUGCUCAUCCCUCCCUUUCCCCUGUCUUGCCUAAGGCUGUUACCCUCCAUUCUACUUCCACUUUGAAGUCAAACUUGACACCUCUCUGCUUCUUUCUUACCAGUUUCAGAGCAGUCACAAAUCCAACCUGUCCUUUCUUAGAAAUGCCUUUCUAAUUAAACAUCUUAGAAACCCACUCAUCCUCGCCCGCUGGGCUGUGUGGUUUCUUUUCUUUUUCCUCAUUGAUCUCUCACCUCUCUUCAGCCCAGCCUCUUCAUCAUCUGAAACCUAAACCCAAGCAUGCUACUUUCUAUCUUAUGAAACCCCUACGAGAAUAAAAAUAAAAACGACGAGGAGAAUUUUUUAAAA